AUCCAGCUGACGAGUCUCCAAUCAGACGAAAUGUGCGUCAAACUGGAU
rfam:Schistosoma curassoni strain Dakar, Senegal genome assembly, scaffold: SCTD_scaffold0001055